rnacentral:rRNA from 1 species
CAACAGGGAUUGCCCUAGUAACGGCGAGUGAAGCGGCAACAGCUCAAAUUUGAAAUCUGGCUUCGGCCCGAGUUGUAAUUUGCAGAGGAUGCUUCUGGCGCGGUGCCUUCCGAGUUCCCUGGAACGGGACGCCAAAGAGGGUGAGAGCCCCGUAUGGUUGGACACCAAGCCUGUGUGAAGCUCCUUCGACGAGUCGAGUAGUUUGGGAAUGCUGCUCUAAAUGGGAGGUAAAUCUCUUCUAAAGCUAAAUACCGGCCAGAGACCGAUAGCGCACAAGUAGAGUGAUCGAAAGAUGAAAAGCACCUUGAAAAGGGGGUUAAAUAGUACGUGAAAUUGUUGAAAGGGAAGCACUUAUGACCAGACUUGGGCCGGGCGGCUCAUCAGGGGUUCUCCCCUGUGCACUCCGCCCGGCACAGGCCAGCAUCGGUUCUCGUGGGGGGAUAAGACCGUCGGGAACGUAGCACCCUCCGGGGUGUGUUAUAGCCCGGCGGACGAUACCCCCGUGGGGACCGAGGUCCGCGCUCCGCAAGGAUGC